UACGGAGGGUGCAAGCGUUAAUCGGAAUUACUGGGCGUAAAGCGUGCGUAGGUGGUUCGUUAAGUCCUUUGUGAAAGCCCCGAGCUCAACUUGGGAAUUGCAGUGGAUACUGGCGAGCUGGAGUGCGGUAGAGGAAGGUGGAAUUCCCGGUGUAGCGGUGAAAUGCGUAGAGAUCGGGAGGAACACCAGUGGCGAAGGCGGCCUUCUGGACCAGCACUGACACUCAAGCACGAAAGCGUGGGGAGCAAACAGG
rnacentral:rRNA from 1 species